AUCUUGACAGGCAGUAUAGCUGCUGAAGGCACUCCGUCUUAAAGUGUACCCUAGGCCACCAUGUAAUUGGAGUUCCGCAGAUGGGAAGAGCCCAUGGGGGGAGAAAUAAUAAAUCUUGUAGUGACGUCUAUGUGCGUAUAUUAUGAGCUGUCAUACAGUAUGCAUUACUAAAUGGUGCCCAUGCUCAUCAAGUAUUUCCUGUGUUAGAG